rnacentral:rRNA from 1 species
GACGAACGCUGGCGGCGUGCUUAACACAUGCAAGUCGAACGGUAAGGCCCUUCGGGGUACACGAGUGGCGAACGGGUGAGUAACACGAGGGUGAUCUGCCCUGCACUUCGGGAUAAGCCUGGGAAACUGGGUCUAAUACCGGAUAGGACCACUGCCUGCAUGGGUGGUGGUGGAAAGCUUUUGCGGUGUGGGAUGGGCCCGCGGCCUAUCAGCUUGUUGGUGGGGUGAUGGCCUACCAAGGCGACGACGGGUAGCCGGCCUGAGGGGGUGACCGGCCACACUGGGCCUGAGAUACGGCCCAGACUCCUACGGGAGGCAGCAGUGGGGAAUAUUGCACAAUGGGCGCAAGCCUGAUGCAGCGACGCCGCGUGAGGGAUGACGGCCUUCGGGUUGUAAACCUCUUUCAGCACCGACGAAGCGCAAGUGACGGUAGGUGCAGAAGAGGGACCGGCCAACUACGUGCCAGCCGCCGCGGUAA